AACGAACGCUGGCGGCAGGCUUAACACAUGCAAGUCGAGCGCCCCGCAAGGGGAGCGGCAGACGGGUGAGUAACGCGUGGGAACGUACCUUUUGGUUCGGAACAACUCCGGGAAACUGGAGCUAACACCGGAUAAGCCCUAACGGGGAAAGAUUUAUCGCCGAACGAUCGGCCCGCGUCUGAUUAGCUAGUUGGUGAGGUAACGGCUCGCCAAGGCGACGAUCAGUAGCUGGUCUGAGAGGAUGAGCAGCCACACUGGGGCUGAGACACGGCCCAGACUCCUACGGGAGGCAGCAGUGGGGAAUAUUGGACGCUGGGCGCAAGCCUGAUCCAGCCAUGCCGCGUGAGUGAUGAAGGCCUUAGGGUUGUAAAGCUCUUUUGUCCGGGAAGAUAAUGACUGUACCGGAAGAAUAAGCCCCGGCUAACUUCGUG
rnacentral:rRNA from 1 species